ACAUGCAAGUCGAGGGGAAACGAUAGAGAAAGCUUGCUUUUUCUAGGCGUCGACCGGCGCACGGGUGAGUAACGCGUAUCCAACCUGCCCAUCACUUGGGGAUAACCUUGCGAAAGUAAGACUAAUACCCAAUGACGUCUCUAGAAGACAUCUUAAUUACAUGUGUGCUUAAGAUACCUGAUGGUAUCUUAAGCACACAUGUAAUUAAGAUUAAAGAUUUAUCGGUGUACGAUGGGGAUGCGUUCCAUUAGGUAGUAGGCGGGGUAACGGCCCACCUAGCCUACGAUGGAUAGGGGUUCUGAGAGGAAGGUCCCCCACAUUGGAACUGAGACACGGUCCAAACUCCUACGGGAGGCAGCAGUGAGGAAUAUUGGUCAAUGGACGAGAGUCUGAACCAGCCAAGUAGCGUGAAGGAUGAAGGUCCUACGGAUUGUAAACUUCUUUUAUAAGGGAAUAAAACCUCCCACGUGUGGGAGCUUGUAUGUACCUUAUGAAUAAGCAUCGGCUAACUCCGUG
rnacentral:rRNA from 1 species